AUGUAGCUCCAGCAGCAAUUGUGUAGCGAUGUCAUAAAAGAAAAGCCUGAGCUAAUCCAGAAAUGGACCCGAGGAUCCCCGAGUAUGGGGUAUCUCUGGAUGAAACUCAGGGGAGUCUAUAAAUUUUAAGUGGGGACAAAAAAAUCUUCACUUUGAUUAACCGGUAGCAGAAAUGCAGCAUUUUGUUCCAUAAGAGACACAGCCAUCAGACCAACGGAUUGUUCAUCACAUCUGUGACUUUGUCAGCUCAGGAAAUCGUGGGUAUUUUUAGACGAUAUUUCAUAACCUCAACUUGACAUUGUAUAUGUCCCUCACUGCCUCAAAACUACAAUAGUCAUUAGGACAACUGGCUAACUUGCUAUAUAAUGUAAUUGAGAGGUAUGUAUCCUAUGCCACUUAUUAAAGAAAAUCUAAGAACACAUUGUAUAGGCCUCUAAUGGCAUAAUUCAGAGGGACAUAUGCUCCUCCCCCACCACAGGGAGAAUGCUAUCGUAGAAAUUGUACUACCAUGUUUUCUUUGCAGGCUGAUAAUUUGCAUAUUUCUCAGGGUCUGUUCAAACAUGCCACCAGUGUGGCCAGCUGAUGGCAGUGACAGAGUUGUGCUAACCUGCUCCACCUUCCUCUCCCGAAGAAGCUGCUGGAAGAUUUUAAACUGCAGUUUUGUUUUCUGGCUCCUGCGCAGGUGAAAGGCUGGAUUCCUUAGGUCUCCUGAGAUAUGAUGGAAAAGUCUGUGUAUGUCACCUCUCUGGAAAGCCACUGGCAGGAGGACUCUUCAGCUGGCCCUUGCUUCCCGCCUGGACCAUAUAGCCUUGGAAGUGGCAGCCCAGCCCUGCCUGAUCUGCAUCUUUUGAAGAGAGGUCACAGGUCACUGGAAGCCUUCAGCUGACAUCUCUCUCUCUCUCUUUUCUUUCUUUCUUUCUUUCUUUCUUUCUUUCUUUCUUUCUUUCUUUCUUUCUUUCUUUCUUUUUUUUUUGAGGCAGUGUUUCACUGCAUAGCCUUGGA
rnacentral:lncRNA from 1 species